rnacentral:lncRNA from 10 species
UUCAGUCCUGCAAGCUCCAUUUGCGUUCUCUCUGUUUGCAUCCUGUUCAUCUGCUGGCAUUCCUUCAGGCUCCUUACGCCGACAUAGUCUGUCCUGUAUUGAACAGUGUCCUCCAAGAGGAAUGUUGAAGUCCUCAGCCCUGGUAGCUGUGAUGUGAUCUCACAUGGGAAUUGGGUCUUAGUAGAUGUAAUCGAAUUAAGAUGAGGUUAUUAGGGUGGAUCCUAAUCUGACCGGUGGUCUUACAAGAAAAGGAAAGCACCAUGUAAAGAUUCACACAGAGACAAGAUAGCCAUGUGACAACGGAGAGAGAAGUUGGAGUGAUGCAUCUUCAAAUCCAGGAACGCUAAGGAUUGAUGGCAAAUACCAGAAGCUAGAAGAGGAAGAGGCAAGGAAGGAUUCUCCUCUACAGAUUUUAGAGAGAACAUGGCCCUGACAACUGCUCGAUUUCAGACUUCUAGCCUCCAGAACUACGAGAUAAUAAAUUUUUGUUUUAUUAAGCCACCUAGUUUGUGGUACUUUGUCACAGCAGCCCUAGGAAAUUAAGAACAGGUCCCACAGGACGGCCUGAAAAUCAAAGUGCUUUUAGUAUGUUCUCUAUUGGAAGUUGCUUCCUCCAGCUAAUAACAUCUAGACUCAUGUGUGAGCG